UACAGAGGGUGCGAGCGUUAAUCGGAAUUACUGGGCGUAAAGCGCGUGUAGGCGGCCUUGCAAGUCGGGUGUGAAAGCCCUCAGCUCAACUGAGGAAGUGCGCCCGAAACUGCAGAGCUUGAGUACCGGAGAGGAUGGUGGAAUUCCCCAAGUAGAGGUGAAAUUCGUAGAUAUGGGGGAGGAACACCGGUGGCGAAGGCGACCAUCUGGACGGAUACUGACGCUGAGACGCGAAAGCGUGGGUAGCAAACAGG
rnacentral:rRNA from 1 species